rnacentral:rRNA from 1 species
UGGGGAAUAUUGGACAAUGGGCGAAAGCCUGACCCAGCAACGCCGCGUGAAGGAUGAAGUAUUUCGGUAUGUAAACUUCGUAAGAAUAGGAAGAAUAAAUGACGGUACUAUUUGUAAGGUCCGGCUAACUACGUGCCAGCAGCCGCGGUAAUACGUAGGGACCAAGCGUUGUUCGGAUUUACUGGGCGUAAAGGGCGCGUAGGCGGCGUGGUAAGUCAUCUGUGAAAUCUCCGAGCUUAACUCGGAACGGUCAGAUGAUACUGCUGUGCUAGAGUACAGAAAGGGCAAUCGGAAUUCUUGGUGUAGCGGUGAAAUGCGUAGAUAUCAAGAGGAACACCUGAGGCGAAGGCGGGUUGCUAGGCUGAUACUGACGCUGAGGCGCGAAAGCUAGGGUAGCAAACGGGAUUAGAUACCCAGGUAGUCCCUGAGCGGGCUGGCAAGGCGCAU